rnacentral:ribozyme from 17 species
UGGAACAAACCGUACAACAGACAAAAAUAAAACGAGACAUAAUCCCCGCAUUGAUAUGUUUCUGUUUCUAUCAUUCGUUCUCGUUCGUGUUCUUCGUCUCCUUCCAAUCCCUCCUAACUC